rnacentral:rRNA from 1 species
GACGAACGCUGGCGGCGUGCCUAACACAUGCAAGUCGAGCGGGGUAGCCGGAAGGUGUAGCGAUACAGGCGGAGGGGUACCUAGCGGCGAACGGGUGAGUAACGCGUGGGCAAUCUGCCCCCGGGGGCGGGAUAACAGACCGAAAGGCCUGCUAAUACCGCAUGAAGCCGUCCUAUCGCAUGAUAAGACGGUAAAAGGGGAAACCCGCCUGGGGAGGAGCCCGCGUCCCAUUAGCUAGUUGGUGGUGUAAAGGACCACCAAGGCGAUGAUGGGUAGCCGGCCUGAGAGGGUGAACGGCCACAUUGGGACUGAGACACGGCCCAGACUCCUACGGGGGGCAGCAGUGAGGGAUUUUCGGCAAUGGGCGAAAGCCUGACCGAGCGACGCCGCGUGAGCGAAGAAGGCCUUCGGGUCGUAAAGCUCUGUCUAGGGGGAAGAGUAAGGACGGUACCUCUGGAGGAAGCCACGGCUAACUACGUG